UGCACCCUCUACCCCGGCCCCAACCGGAGGCAUGGCCCCACUACCAACCGGAGUCACUACCUUUGCCUCACCACGCCCCAACCGGAGACGCCGCCGCCUCAAGAUCCUACCACCGUCACCGUCGCCACGACCAAAAAUCAAGCACCGCGGCCGGAUGCUCGUUGCGCCCGAGCGCCGCCACACAUGGAACCGGCCAAAUCCGGCCAGAUCCGAUUUCGACCGCCCCUGCCUCCCGUCCACUGUCCCCACGCUGCCCUGGUCUCCCCCACCUUCGCCAGUACCUAGCUACAACACCGGCCAUCUCCCGCCAAGGAUCCCGCUGUCGACCACCGCCACCCACCGCCCGAUACAUCGCCGCCUCAGCGGAUCCACUCCACUCCUCCGUCUCCUAACGGAUGCCCCUGGCUCAUCUUGCUCCUCAUGUCCUCCCUCACGUUUGCAUCAACAAAGAUAGGUGGGCCGGUGCAGUCCAUUUCGUGCCACAGCAGCCGGUCAACUCUUCCAGAACGCAUCUCGAAUUGGCCCCAAUUUUGCGUGCAUGGAGGUGGUGCUGCUCCAGUGAGCUCCUUCAUCCCCAACCCGUCCCCUGAUUGCGGCCGCUGCACCACACAGAGGGUGCUCGCACAUCUCUUAUGCCAGAAUGCGGGUAUCCUUGAUCACAACCACCAUGAUGUCUCGGUGUCGGGCCAGUCACCCCAUCACACUGCUCUCUUGCAUCGCAUCAGCUGGCUAAGUGAUGGCGUCAGUCCUCCAGGGACAAUGCAAGGUGCUGGUUUCCUAUGAAGUUUCGUUAUGCAACACCAUUUUACCCCUGUCUUCCUCUUCCAACAAAUCAAAAGUAGUCUACGAAAGAAUGAAGGCCUUGUGUUGGACAUCUCUAAAUCUGUUUGAAAAAAUUUCUGAAAAAUGUGAUCCUUUGGAGACGUCUUUCUGCAAUUUCCCUCGAUUAUUCUUAAACCUGGUAGGUAUGAUGGUAUAAACAGACUGAUAAGUGUUAUGUUAAUUAUCUGGUACGUGGAUGCUCUCUGUCAUUGACAAUAUUUUGGAGUGGUCAAUUUACCAAACCAGUGGUUGCCUUCAUUGUAUACUCUUCUCAUCCUUUGCAGCAAGUGAUAUUGUUUCGGUUGUCGGUUUUUUCUUUGCAAA